rnacentral:lncRNA from 9 species
CCCUGUGUGUGAUCAAGUGUGUGUAACAUGUGCGGCCAGGGCUAAGGGCGCCUCUGUCCAUCAGUGCCUGUGAGAGGGAGGGACAUUCGGGAUCCUGGGCCUGCGAGAGGGUUCGCUCUUGUUUCUAAAGGGCCAAAGAGCACUAAUGAUCUGUGUGUGUGUGUGUGUGUGUGUAUGCCAACACACGUUGUGUACCCCUGCGAACAGGCUUUGAAAUAUGGACUGUGAGAAUCUGGGCCUGAAGAGUGACAAACUGUAACUACACAUGUGCAUCUGGCAUGUGUAAAUACGUGUGAUGGCGCGCAAGUGUGAAAGCAUUUAAGGAAAACAUGGUCAAUGCAGAAAACUUGGAGCAGCGCAAAUGAAGUAAAAAAAAACAUCACCCAAAGAUGUUAAAUCUCAGGAGCCAGCACACUUGACAAUUCUUUCCCCGUGGCUCUGGAAUUUUUUAUGGCGCUGAAGGGAAGGGCAAACAAGCAAACCUGUGAGCAGGAGAGCGAGCCUGGAGAGCUUGAGUCCUGGCUGUGGAAACGUGGGCAAGGCCUUUAACCUCAUUGAGCCUCCAUUGUUUUCAUCUGUAAGAGGAUUCCUUUGGAGACAAUAAAGACCCUGCCUUGGAGUUCCCGUUGUGGCUCAGUGGUU